AACGAACGCUGGCGGCAUGCCUAACACAUGCAAGUCGAACGAGACCUUCGGGUCUAGUGGCGCACGGGUGCGUAACGCGUGGGAACCUGCCCUUAGGUUCGGAAUAACUCCCCGAAAGGGGUGCUAAUACCGGAUAAUGUCUUCGGACCAAAGAUUUCUCGCCUUUGGAUGGGCCCGCGUUGGAUUAGCUAGUUGGUAGGGUAAAAGCCUACCAAGGCGACGAUCCAUAGCUGGUCUGAGAGGAUGAGCAGCCACACUGGGACUGAGACACGGCCCAGACUCCUACGGGAGGCAGCAGUGGGGAAUAUUGGACAGUGGGCGAAAGCCUGAUCCAGCAAUGCCGCGUGAGUGAUGAAGGCCUUAGGGUUGUAAAGCUCUUUUACCCGGGAUGAUAAUGACAGUACCGGGAGAAUAAGCUCCGGCUAACUCCGUG
rnacentral:rRNA from 1 species